UACAGAGGGGGCAAGCGUUGUUCGGAUUUACUGGGCGUAAAGCGCGUGUAGGCGGCUUCGUAAGUUGGAUGUGAAAUCCCACGGCUCAACCGUGGACGUGCAUCCAAAACUACGUCGCUGGAGUCUCGGAGAGGAAGGUGGAAUGCUUGGUGUAGAGGUGAAAUUCGUAGAUAUCAAGCAGAACACCUGCGGCGAAGGCGGCCUUCUGGACGAUGACUGACGCUGAGCCGCGAAAGCGUGGGGAGCAAACAGG
rnacentral:rRNA from 1 species